GGAUGUACAGCUGGUUGAUACAGAUUUGAGAACACUGAUCAGGUGUUAUAUCUACUUGCUGCAAAGCACUUGAAUAUGCUAUGAAGACAUAGAAAAAUCCUGCUGUGAGACUGGAGUGAAAACUACAAAAAUCCUUAGGAUACGGCAAACCUCUGUGUGAACUCUUGAGUGCUCUGACUUCACGGAUUGGAAAGAAGAUCCAGAAGUUCCUCACCUCAAGCUUUGCUAAAUAGGUAAAGGUUACCCACCUAAGGGCAGGCAGGGAUAGGGCAACUGCUGCAAGGCUAGUAUUGCCUGGGG
rnacentral:lncRNA from 1 species